AUUUUAAAGGAAACUCAUUAUUAGGUUUGAAUGCUUUAUACGAAACCUCUAUACAGAUCCAAUCUUGAGGAUCAGAAUGAUUCUACAAUUUAUAAUAGUUGAAGGUGGCCUUAUUUUGUGAUAAACUGUUUCAUGUGUCAUUCUCAGUAAUAUUUCUUCUUCUUCAAGCCCUUGCUGUAAAAAGUUUGUCAUUUGCACCAGGUCAAUACUAUUUAAUUUAACAACCCUUUCUUUAAAUCUGCCUUGGGCAAGUUUUUACCAUCGCAGUGUCUGGCUGCUUGCUUCCAGACUUCCUGCUGCCCACUAAUUACUACUUCUGCAAUCCAUGUUAUGAUUUGAGUAAAUGUCCCAGGUAUUAGCAUUGUCAGAUCUGCUAGAGAUAAACCAGUGGAGCCUCUGCCCGUUGGAGGUGUUUACUUGUAGUGAUGUUAGGGAACAGUUCUGGGGAACAACUUUUAAAGUGGUGGAAGGUCCUGGGAGUUAUUCUUGCAUUGAUAUGUUAAGUGAAGCAAUGCCAACAAUAGCAUUUCAGUAGUGGAUUACAGCUCUACAGUUAUGGUGGGGUUCUUCCAUACAAUAUGAAGCUGGGACUCAACUCUUAGGAAACACCUGUUGUAUUGAGCAGUUUAACCUGUCGAGCAGUUACUUCAUGGUGCUGACUACAGUUGUGUGACUAUGUUCAGUGGUCAUGGUUAUACAUUUGCUUUUUUUAAAAAAAAAUUGUUUAUUUAUGGAAUUUCUGUACUACGGUAGACCAGGAGUAAGAGAAACUGUGGAUAAGUGGGGGACUACUGUAGUUAACAGAGAGGCAAAAUUAACCUGUUUUACAUUAGUGAUAAAAAUGUUUUUAAGCAGUGCCUCCCCAGAGUUUCUUCUUAUGAAGAUGAUGAACCCAAAAAGUAUUUCUUUGUUUUUCUUCACAUUCAGGUAGAAAUACACAGCCGUUUCCUGGGCUAUCCACAAUUCAGAUUUUUUGGAAUAUUUCAACAAAAGAGCAUCUGCAGUGUCCAAAUAGUAAUUCCAACCAGCGACUUUUUUCCUUAUUUGCUUUUUAAUGCUGUUUUUACAUUCUUUUUUGUCUACUGUGGCCUAAUUAUGUUGAUCGUUUUCUCCCCCUUUUAUAAGAUCGUUUACAUUCUUCUAAGUGAUGAGAUGUCCUCUCUGUUGAAUUUGUCUUUAUUUAAAUUAGCAACACUAUUUAGAAUUUCUCUUUCACGGUGCUGGUAAUUUCCUCAGUUUACAACAUGAGAACUGAAUGACCAUGCAAUCACAUUAAGAUGAAUGGCGGCUUUCACAGUAGAUUCCAUAGAGACACACCUUAGGGCUGGCUUAGGAAAUAGGAGGCUGGUGUUAUGUCCCCACUGACUUUGAUCUCACCAGUGGCAGCUUCAUUUUUAUUCUACGUUGGAGUAAUACAUAGACUUUGUUUGUUUCAUUGCUUUAAAAAUAAGUCUGAAAAGUCAUAACUACUGGUUAAGAUUAGAAAACAACUGGAUUUCAGCCCACCUUUUGGAAUAACACUGCUUGUGUUCUUGUCUCAUCCUGCUUUAAGAUACUUUCCUGGCUAUGUUUGAAUUACACUGAUUCUGCAUUAUGAUACACAGUCAUUCAGUAACCAUUCAUUAAUGCCUAUUCUUUACCCAGCCACUGUGAUAGACAUUGAGUAACAAAAAGAUGACUGAGAUUUGGCCCUGACCCUCAAGCUGUGCUUAGUAUUGUGAAGAUUACUUUCUCUUUUGGAACUUACCACUUUACUGGAAGGAUUUCUGCCUAGUUUUUCUUAAAACCUGAAUAUUCUUGUUCUGUACUCUUAUUCUGUAUUCCAAGUGUAUAUUUGCAAAUUGUUGAAUAUCUAGUUUUUAUUUUUACCUUAAACCAUAUCUGGUUUAGCUUGAUCAAUCUGUCUUUUAAACAUUGUCAGAUUUUUUCCUUUGUUAAAAUUAUUUUAAUUUUACUUUAUUUGUACCUUUAUUGUCAGUUUCAUCAAGACUAAAACUUUAAAGGUGAAAAACAAUCAGCCCGGUCUUGACCUAGUUGAAAUCAAAUAAAAAGUAUAUAUACCUAGUUGAUUUCUCUACCUCUUCCAAAAGCUGUCUAAAUAUACCUUUAAGACCUUUUUUUUUUUUAAUCUUUUUUUUUUUUUUUUAAUAGCUAAAUACUUGGAGCCUUUAUUCAGUAACAGGCACCCGCUUGGUCUGGUUGAUGGUGAGAUAUAAGGUAAAACAAGACAGUCUUCACUGUACUUAAAAUUUCUUACGUGCAGUCUUUGCUUUCAUAGUUUAACAUCCCAGUUUCACAUUUUGCCCCCUCCAGACCACCCCCUCAGUAUCUCUUUAGAUAACUAAGUAGUCUGUGGACAUAAGCAACACAUGACAUUUUCUUUUAUUCUGAUCUAACACAUUGAUGUUUAGAUGUGACAAAUUAUUGGUGCAUUUUCUUUCCUCCAUGAGUUUUACUUUGUGAAAUCCUUCAUCUUCAUUGGCUGAAUUUUGUUCUUCCUCUCCUUCUCUUGUCAACAUAUGUCCCUAGUGGUUUUGCUGGUUUCCCUCCUCCUUGCCAACCAUGUUUUAUCUACAUAUAGCGGAAUGUUUCUCUCUCUCUUGUAUUUUACUAAAGACCAAACAGGAUGGUGCUGUUCAUACCCAGGGUCCUAACUUCUUCACCAUGAAUAUUGAUGUUCAGAUUGGUCAGUCACUUAAAAGGAGAAAGUCCAGUUAAACAUCUUUGUGACUAGCAAAUAGCAUAAAUCAUCAGAUUCUGUUUUAUGUUUAGAAUUAUGAAUUAUUAUGGCAGUCGCAGCCUACAAUUCUAGCCCUGUUUCUACCUUGGAGCAUAUUGGAUUGUUGUAUUUAGUACAAUCAGGAGUAAUGAUGACAGUGUGUGGCUUCUGGAAGUCAUCAGAAUCAUCCUGUUGCGUUCCUAUUAUAUCUUUCUUUCCAGGUUUUCAUGAAUAUUUUGUCUGUUCAGACUACUUUUUAUGUUUGGGGAUUGAGGGACAAAUUAUCUCUUGGCAUGGAAUUCCUAUGUUUGUUGCCUCAACCAGGAAAUCUGAACUAUACUAGAGAUAGCCUUGUGGUAGUCUUUAUGAAAAGAAUUUCUUGUCUAAUGUGUUCACAUAAUUUCUUAAAUAGGAACUGUUUUACCUUGGAUAUUAUAGCUAACUUUACAUAUAGCAUAACUGCCUUAAAUCUUUUUAGUAGGAAAUAUAUAGUGUGUAUCUAUGGAUUUAUAUAUACAUACAAGUACAUGCAGAAGAACCUUAGCCAUAGGGGUCAUUUAUCUGCAUACACUUAGCAGUGUUGAACGCUUCCGUUGUUUAAAUUCCAGAUCUCAGUGAAAAGUUCUUAAUUUAUUUGCAGACAUUUUCCUUUCAUGGACAGACCAUCAGAGUAAUUUUUUUAUUCCACCAGAGUCCUAAUUUGGCAGUUCAGUUAAUAUGCCAUUUUUAGGUAGCUUGACAAUUAAGAACCAUAACUGUAAUUCAUUAACAUCAAAUAAAGCUCUGCCAUAUACCCCUUCAUUAAAUGAUUAUACAUGCAGUGGUCUCUGGAAGGUACUAGCUUUGGAUUUACUUCCUCUUUUCUCUUUACUCUUUUCUUUUUUCUUUUUCUUUUUUUUUUUCCUCUUUUUUCUUCUCUUCCUUUUUAAUAUUUGUGGUUCCCUGCCCCUGCCCUUAAUUCUUUUCCCCCUGGUGUCAAAUUGCUGCUUAAGAUACCCCAGGAAGUACCACUACCAAGUCAAAUUCUCCUGUACUUAAGGGUAACGUGAAGAUAGUGUAGACCUGACUUUCUUCGUUGCGCUCAACAGAAAUGGACUUUCUAAACUUUUUAGGGCCAUCUCUGAUUCACAGAGAAUAUGACUAGAUAGAGUAUAUUAACCUAAGUUAAUUUCAUUGUCAUUUGGUUUGCUACCAUAAGGUCCAUAAGACCCCAGAUUUCACCAUUAGUUGAGAUGUAAGGAUCUCUUAGAAGAAUAAUGCCACUGAUGAUGGGAGUAAGAAGGAUUUAUUAACUCUACACAAAGGACUUUUAGAUUUUUCUCCAAAAAAAUUUCCCCAAAAUGAUGUUCUCCUACCCUCAAAAAAAAAAAGGAAAAAGAAAGCUCUUCUCCAAAAUUUCCAGUUCUUUUGGGUUGGAGGUAGGGAUUUACUUCCUAUUUCUUAAAGAUGAUAAUUUACUGAGCAAUGAAAUCCAUAAUAUAUUGAUGUAAGGACACAAGUAAAGUUUUAGAAUUAUAAAAAUAACAUUUUCCAUUUCACACUCUACUGUUCUUCUUUCUCCCUGUGGCUUUAAAGCUUUUGGCUAUUUUACAAUGUUAGUCACUAGAUAACUUGCCACAUUUCUAGUUCUAUAUUAAGUUCUACCCUUUACAAUGCUGUAGCAUAGAGUCGGUUCUCAGCAUUUGUCUAGAGGAGUAGAAAUCUUGCUAAAGUCUCUUUUCCAAAGAUUGAAUUUUCCUUUUCUGAAUAAGUCCCUAAGAAAAUAUGUUUGUCACUUUCAUUAUUCACUUUCUUGAAUUGUUAAAACAAAGAAAUAUUGUUAAAACGAAUAUUGAUGAGAAAGAAUGGGGUCUUUUUCUGCUGAAUGUAUGUACCUGCUUUAAGAAUGUAGUCAUGUGUUGGUUUAUAUAAUUAAUAUACACAGAAUAAAUUGGGAGAAAUAAUUACCACAUAUGUAGCAAGUAGGUAAUAACAUGCAUGGAUAUUAAAUCUUUUUUUAUACCCUAUUUCUUGGCAAAGUACAGAACCCAAAUUGGUCAUAUCUUAGACCAACUAUACCUCAGGCUUCAUUUUUGCUUUUUUGACCCUGACCUUUUAAGGUGUAACUAUUUGUAUCUUUUUUAUUAGUGAUAGUGAAGCUGUGACACUAAUCAUUUUUAUACAAGAGGGCAAAACAAGAAAAACUUUAGAGAUUAAGAUGAAAGCAGUUCUGCACUUGUUGAACUAGAUCACAGCAUUGUAGGCAAAAUAAAAAUGGUCAUAUCUGAGAAUAUUCUUUUUUGCCGUCUUUUCCCAAGGUCAGACCUUCUGGUGGAACACAGUUAAAAGUAACAUAAUUCAGGGCCUUUGUAGUCUGAGAGAAAUAUUUCCAGUUGGUCUCUUCAAUAUUUGAAACAAGAAUGUGGGACAUAGUUGGCAAUAAAUGUUUUCACCAAAAUAUAUAUAUGAAAAAUCAUAUAAUGCUAAGUUAUUCAUUUAGCUCUUAAAAUCUCAAAAAGAUAGUAAAAUACUGUAUAACUGGACAAAAACAGAAGAACCUUUAGAGGACUUGUCUGAAAACAGGUUUCAAGGAUGAACUUAUGCACAUGCACUGCUCACAAAUUUGCUUAAGUACUACCAACUAUUCUUAAAAUGCAUACUGUUAAGUAAGAUAUUUAUGGACUUCCUAAGAACUAGCCAUUGGCAAGUAUCCUAAAAAUACUGAUGCCCACAUAGGUAGCCUUAUGCUCUUGAAAAUGCUUAUCUUUUCUCUAGUGAUACCGAAGGAGGAGUGAGUGGUGGUUUUAGGAUGAGCAGCUGCCCUGGUGUGCCAGGGGUUCCCUGGAUGCAGGACUUCCAUUGAUAAACCCAAGAAAGUUGCAAGUACCCCAGGAGUUGCUGAUCACCGUAGGUAUUCUUGUGAUUUACCCUCACUCCUUUAAACUUUGUAAUAGUCGUGAUUAAAUUCAGCUGCCCUGUGGCUUUCAACAUUCUGAUACUUAGAUAUGUGUCCUCCAAUCACUUAUUACUGUGGAUGGAAUGUGAGAUUUAUAACAGUUGCCAUUGGCACCAACCUGAUGAGAGACUAACACUAGUGAUCCAAGGAAGGUAACUGGUGGUUUAAUGAAAUAGAGAAGAGUCAAGUACAUAGCUAAGUUUUUCAGAACCUGUGCGUAUAUGUAAGUAUAAGUCCUGUCUUUAUAGAGUUGAAUGUAAUCUGAAAUUUACAUUUUUCACAGUAAGUGAAAAUUGAGUGCUUUUAUGGAUUUCUUCUCUCUUGAGGGAAAAUAUGGCCUUUGAUGCUCUUUCCUCUACUACAUUCCCCAGACUAUCCUGCUUAAGAAGCCAGAAUGUGAUAUUAUAUAUUUAUUCUUUGUAAAUGGUGUGUUGAGAUUAUUAAGUGCAUCAGCCAGUGGCAGGUGAACAAACUGGAUGUCCUGAUCCAGACUGAGCAAUGUCCUCAGAUUCUGAUAGCCUACCCUCAGGUGCUUACCAGCUGGAACACUGACCAUGGGAGGUGAGAUUUUUCUAAUACAGCAUUAAUUUUGUAAUGCAAUAUGAUGGAUGCAGAGUCUGUUCUUGUUUCCCUGUGGUAGUCCUCAAAAACUGCAUCCUCUGUGCACUGUGAUGUAGAUGGUAGAUGUGUUCUUUGUAAGCUUUAAUCCUAUGAUUGUCAAAAGUACAAUGUGGUUCCUUUUUUUUUUUUUCUUUUUACAUAAACAUGACCUGAGGCUUUAUUACAUCUGGUUUUCAAUUUAAAAUUGUGAAAUACUGAUUUCCCCCCACCAAAUAUUUUAGUCUAUUUAAAGUACAAAGAAAAAAUAGUCAUACUUAAGAAAACAUUGCUUAACUGUCCUGUGAUUUCUGGUCAAUUUUUAUAUAUAUAUGUGUGUGUCUCUGUGCUUUCACUUUUUACCUUGUUUGCUCUCUACCUGUGUUAACAGUACUUUCACCAUUGAAAGGUGAACAUUUUUCCUAGCAUUAAAAAAAAGCCAUUUGAGUUGUUUACCAUGUUAUUAUGGGACUUAUUUUUAAUUGUUCUAAUUGAUUUUGAUUUAAACCGAUCUUUUUCUUUUAGAGGGUAUUUUAUAUUUGCUGUUUGUGCCCUAAUGUAUAUGGAAACAAAAAAAGAUUGUGUAUAUUUCACAUAAUGGAGGUAUGAUAUGAAGAGUACGUUUUUUUAAAUUUGGUGUUAUAUAAAAAUUCCACUUCCCUGGCAGACAGAUCUGCACUGCUUAAUAACCUCCCACCCCCUCCCAGACACAGCACACACCCCACAGUGCUAGUAAGUUAUGCAUUUUAGUUUAUUUCAGAGCUCGUCUGUGCCAAAUUAAUAAUCUAAUACACAUGAUCUAUGCUGUAAACAAAAACAGACUAGAAGGUAAAAUUCACAUUUACUCUCGAAAUGUACUCUUAGGAAAAAAGCAAGUGCUGUUUUAUAAAAGAUUCCACUGAAAAAUAUUAAGUAAGACAUAGUGUACUCAUAAUUAGUCCUAUCAUCAUAAUGAAAUAUUUAAAAAAUUUUUUAGAUCAACCAGACUUCCUUUGUGCCUUGCAAGAGCUCAAUUCUCUGGAUGAAUCAAUACUUAUCUGGGUAGCAGACUGCUUUCUUUAAACAGACAUGCUUUAGGAUGUAACAAAAGGGACCUCAAAAGUUAAAAUACACUACUUUGCUUGGCAUUAAACAGUCCAGGGACUAUCAUGGUUUCAUCAACAAUUUUGUAUUGGUAGAAAACCUAUUUAAACAAUUCUACUUAAAUUGCCACACCAUACUAGAUAAGCAAUCUAAAAGGAAUCUUCCAACAUUGUACUAACAACAUCACUUCAGUUGACAGAAUGACUAGCAUUCUUUUUCGUUGUCACCUCACCUUGGGAACAUUUCUUUCAGCAGCCUGCUAGUGACAUUUUAUCUGCAUUGGGAGAUUUUUGUAACAACUCUGGUGUCCAUAAUGGCACAUAUUCUUCAAGGGGCUGAAGAAUAGGGGAGAAGUAUUAAGUUGUAUGUUUGGGCUUUCUCCCCACUUGGCAAAUCUUUUUUUCCCCCUUGCUUCAAAAUAGAUCAAAAGCCCCUAAGUGUGGGGAGCAGACAUAUUAGUAUCAGACUGAAGUACUGCAAUACAGUCAUUUUGCACCAGAUGUGUCUGAGAGCUAGAGUAGAGACAGUCUUCAUUUGCUACUUAACGACAUAUUUGCACUGUGUAGCUGUCCAGGUUGUUUUUUUUAACAGACUUUUGUCCUUUUCAUCAAAACAUGCAAGAUGAACCCAACCUGAAAAUUAAGUUCAAAAAUACAGGAAUACAGAAUAAAAAGUCAAAGGCAUACAUCAAAACUACUAUCUGCUACAGUGAAUAGGUUCAUCAUUGCUGUUGCUCCUGGCCAUUAUCACAUGACCUGCUUGAACACCCUCUGAACUCUGAGUCUGGCUUGUAUAGAACUAGAAGAGUCUACCUCAUAAGUGAGGUAAAAUGAAGCAUUCGAUUCAGAGAAACCUUUUCUCUUAAUGAACAUUCAUUAAUGCCACUUCCAAAACCUUUCUGGGACUUUUUAAAUGUGGAGAUACUGUGUAUCUGCUUCAUGCUGGUCAUUUUUAGAAGCAUGGAGUGUGUUAGGGAAGUUUUGCCAAUAAUGAUGCUUUAGCAAUAAUCUGAUCGAUCAUGGUGUGUUGUAACUGACAAAUUUUAAAGAAGGAAACACCACAGUUAUCUGUGUCCUGUUUCUAUAUUACAUGUAUCAAAAAUUGUCUGAAGAGUCUGACUCUGUGGAAGAAUUUAGGAAGUGAGCAUCUCUUUGGCAGCCCUAGAAAGUGGAGUUGACCUCAGCCUUCACCUUCUGUGUGUCCAGUGUUUACUUACCACAUUUUUCAGAGAACUGAAUAUAUUUCUCCCAGGAUACAUGUUUAAGUGGGCUUUCCUUCCCCAUAGUCAUCUUUAAUGGUCACAUGGUCACAUAACUUAUUUUGAUUAUCACAUUCAUGUAAAUACAUGAAAAUAUUUUGUGGUCUCUUACUGGCAGACCAGUGAAUAGGACUAUUUUUUAAUUUUUUUUUUUUUUUUUUACUUUCUAAUAUAUCUAUUAUUUUUGUAAAAUAUGAAAACAAUAACAAAAAGUCCUAUCCGUAUUACAAAAACCAGAGUAAAACACUGGUGUAAUUUUUUCUGCUUUUACUUUUGAUAUCUGUGUAUAUUCAUCAGGACAUGUUCAAAGCUCCUCUAAAACAGUACCUUCAGUUAGAGAAAGCUAUCACAAAUCUUAAGAAAAAUCUUUAAAAUUCAUUAAGCCAUUCAGCAAGCCAUGUAAUUUUCACUUGAUUUGAGCAACACAAAAUAUCUAUGUCAGUCUACUUAAAAUUUGAUGUUUGAAAUUAAAUUUAAAAAUUUUAGACAUCCUUUUCAUGCAUGUUUUUUAUGUACUAUAAAUGUGAAUAUAUACUUUGAUGUAUUUGAAACCAAACUUUUUUGUCUUGUCUGUUGCAAGUAUCCUAAAAUAAAAGUGUGCAAUGGAACCAA